rnacentral:rRNA from 1 species
UCUGGGAUUAGAUACCCUGUUAUUUUAAAUAUAAUUAUAAAAAAUUAAAGUAGUAAUAGUUAUGAACUUGAAACUUAAAAAAUUUGGCGGUAUUUUAGUCUAUUCAGAGGAACUUGUUUUAUAAUCGAUAAUCCACGUUGGACCUUUCUUAAAUUUGUAAUCAGUUUAUAUACCGUUGUUAUUAAAAAAUUUUAUAAGAAUAUUAAUUUUUAUAAUUUUAAAAUAAAAAAUAUAUCAGAUCAAGGUGUAGCUUAUGUUUAAGUAAAAAUGAGUUACAAUAAAUUUAUUUAAAUGAAUAUAAAUUUGUAAUGUUUAUUGAAGGUGGAUUUGAUGGUAAAAUUAUAUAGAUUAAUAAUUUGAUUUUAGCUCUAAAAUAUGUACAAAUCGCCCGUCACUCUCUG